AUACAGAGGGUGCAAGCGUUAAUCGGAUUUACUGGGCGUAAAGCGCGCGUAGGCGGCUAAUUAAGUCAAAUGUGAAAUCCCCGAGCUUAACUUGGGAAUUGCAUUCGAUACUGGUUAGCUAGAGUGUGGGAGAGGAUGGUAGAAUUCCAGGUGUAGCGGUGAAAUGCGUAGAGAUCUGGAGGAAUACCGAUGGCGAAGGCAGCCAUCUGGCCUAACACUGACGCUGAGGUGCGAAAGCAUGGGGAGCAAACAGGAUUAGAUACCCGGGUAGUCC
rnacentral:rRNA from 1 species